rnacentral:rRNA from 1 species
UACGUAGGUGGCGAGCGUUGUCCGGAUUUACUGGGCGUAAAGAGCGCGCAGGCGGUCGUACAAGUCGCGUGUGAAAGCCCCCGGCUCAACUGGGGAGGGUCACGCGAUACUGUUCGACUCGAAGGCAGGAGAGGGAAGUGGAAUUCCCGGUGUAGUGGUGAAAUGCGUAGAUAUCGGGAGGAACACCAGUGGCGAAGGCGACUUCCUGGUCCAGCACCGACGUUCAGGCACGAAAGCGUGGGGAGCAAACAGG